rnacentral:rRNA from 1 species
GACGAACGCUGGCGGCGUGCCUAAUACAUGCAAGUCGAACGCAGUGGGGCCGGGUGAGUAACACGUGGGUAACCUCCCAUCAUUGGGGAUAACACUUGGAAACAGGUGCUAAACCGAUACUGAUGGAUGGACCCGCGGUGCAUUAGCUAGUGGGUGAGGUAACGGCUCACCAAGUCCACGAUGCAUAGCCGACCUGAUAGGGUGAUUGGCCACACUGGGACUGAGACACGGCCACGACUCCUACGGGAGGCAGCAGUAGGGAAUCUUCGGCAAUGGACGAAAGUCUGACCGAGCAACGCCGCGUGAGUGAAGAAGGUUUUCGGAUCGUAAAACUCUGUUGUUAGAGAAGCGGUAUCUAACCAGAAAGCCACGGCUAACUACGUGCCAGCAGCCGCGGUAAUUC